rnacentral:tRNA from 1 species
AUGGCUGAGAUUUAUGCAUUAGAUUUUUAAUCUAAUUACAGGAUUAUAUCCUUA